ACUUUUUAAAUUAUAAAUUUGAUUUGACUCACUUGAAAUAGGCGAAAGGUAUCACCCUGCAAUUAAUCGUUAUCAUUUGAUUGUUUCUUCGAAUACAGUUCAAAUUCCCAUCAUAUUCUCGGCCUUUGAUUAUAUGUUGCUCCAUUUGAAUAAAAUUAUCAUACAAAAUUAAAUCUGUAAUGUUUUUGCCCCAAAGUUCAUUAAUCCUGUAGCCUAAUAAUUUUUCACUAAUUUUAUUAGCAAACUGUAAAAGUAAAAAGAAAUAAGAGAUACUAAUAAAAUUGAGCCAAGAAAAAUUAUUUUGCCAAUUAUUGACCAAUCAAAAUAUAAGAAACAUAUCUUAUACGCACAAAUAUUGUAGCCCGCACGCACCGAUCGUUAUUCCAACACCUAAAUUGAUCAAAGCCCCAAUUAUUCACGAGCACGAGAAACAGAAGAAAAUUUAUUUUCCACCAGAUAAACGAAAUCGCAAAGGCUCGUUCGAUCUUGACACUGAAUCAUGCGACACUGAAGGCCAAGCUUUGAAAUCACACUUUGAAAACACGCUUUCUGCUCCCGACAUUCUUCGCUUUAUCUUAUCACAUCAGCCUCACCAACCAGAUCAAUUCAAUUCCAAAGAUUCCUACAUCCGAAAAUCACUCGAACAAUUCACAAUUUCACAAACUCCGCCCGAUUCUUUCGCUUCCUCGAUCAACCUUGAGUAACGUAACAUGAUAAAAACGUGUGUCGCGUGUGCAAAUUUACGAUUUGCUUGUUUGAAAGAGAGAGAAAGAGAGAGAGAUAACGAUGAAUGCAGAGAAUCGAGAGAAGAACUCGGUAAAUGUUAAGAAGAGGAGUGAAGAAACGUGUCUGAAUGAUCGAUCGGUUUGGACGUGGACCAAAGAAAUCGUCGGAUGAUGUCGAUCGCUGGCUCGAUUCUGAUCGAGAUCCCAUUUCAACAUUGGCUCUUGACGCUUCCCAGAAAGAUUUACGAGGUCGCCUGUUUCCUCCUCUGCUAUUUGACUUUUAUCAUUGUCUGCUAAUUUUCACUUGGGAAUAAUUAACGUCGCAAUUGUUUGGAUUUCGAGAUGCGAAAUUGGAAUUCAGGAUCGAUAAAUCGGUGUAAUGAUUAAAUCUGGUAUAAAUCUAUUGUUGAUCGAAAUUGAUAGAAAUGUUGUUGAGUUUUUGGUAGAAUUAUAAACGUGAUUUUAUAUAAGGAAAUUUUAUUACGAUGAAUGAUUUAAAAAACAAAUAUGAAUGUAUAAAAGUUGUAGAAGAAAACAUUUAUUUAAAAGUUAAAGAAAACUUGCCACCAAAUUCCCAGAUCGAAAGUAAAACAAUUCAUAAAAAUUCAUUCGAUUUAUCUCUGAUUGAAAUUUGAGAAAGAUUUUGUUCUAUUGA